GUGCCAGCAGCCGCGGUAAUACGGAGGGUGCAAGCGUUAUCCGGAUUUAUUGGGUUUAAAGGGUCCGUAGGCGGAUCGGUAAGUCAGUGGUGAAAUCUCAUAGCUUAACUAUGAAACUGCCAUUGAUACUGUCGGUCUUGAGUGUAUUUGAAGUAGCUGGAAUGAGUAGUGUAGCGGUGAAAUGCAUAGAUAUUACUCAGAACACCAAUUGCGAAGGCAGGUUACUAAGAUACAACUGACGCUGAUGGACGAAAGCGUGGGGAGCGAACAGGAUUAGGAUAACCCUGGUAGUCCACGCCGUAAACGAUGCUAACUCGUUUUGGUUUCGGACUCAGAGACCAAGCGAAAGUGAUAAGUUAGCCACCUGGGAGUACGUUCGCAAGAAUGAAACUCAAGAA
rnacentral:rRNA from 1 species